rnacentral:rRNA from 1 species
AGCGAACGCUGGCGGCAGGCUUAACACAUGCAAGUCGAGCGGGCGUAGCGAUACGUCAGCGGCAGACGGGUGAGUAACGCGUGGGAACGUACCUUUUGGUUCGGAACAACACAGGGAAACUUGUGCUAAUACCGGAUGAGCCCUUACGGGGAAAGAUUUAUCGCCGAAAGAUCGGCCCGCGUCUGAUUAGCUAGUUGGUGAGGUAACGGCUCACCAAGGCGACGAUCAGUAGCUGGUCUGAGAGGAUGAUCAGCCACAUUGGGACUGAGACACGGCCCAAACUCGUACGGGAGGCAGCAGUGGGGAAUAUUGGACAAUGGGCGCAAGCCUGAGCCGGCCAUGCCGCGUGAGUGAUGAAGGCCCUGGGGUUGUAAAGCUCUUUUGUGCGGGAAGAUAAUGACGGUACCGCAAGAAUAAGCCCCGGCUAACUUCGUGCCAGCCGCCGCAGUAAAAC